rnacentral:rRNA from 1 species
UACGUAGGGUCCGAGCGUUGUCCGGAAUUACUGGGCGUAAAGCGCGCGCAGGCGGUUCUUCAAGUCAGAGGUGAAGCCCAGAGCUCAACUCUGGAAUGGCCUUUGAGACUAGAGAACUAGGGUACGGGAGAGGUGAGUGGAAUUCCGAGUGUAGAGGUGAAAUUCGUAGAGUAUUCGGAAAGAACACCAGUGGCGAAGGGCG